rnacentral:rRNA from 3 species
UUUAAUGUUUGAUGUUCUAACGUGGACCCGUUACCCGGGUUGCGGACAGUGUCUGGUGGGUAGUUUGACUGGGGCGGUCUCCUCCUAAAGAGUAACGGAGGAGCACGAAGGUUGGCUAAUCCUGGUCGGACAUCAGGAGGUUAGUGCAAUGGCAUAAGCCAGCUUGACUGCGAGCGUGACGGCGCGAGCAGGUGCGAAAGCAGGUCAUAGUGAUCCGGUGGUUCUGAAUGGAAGGGCCAUCGCUCAACGGAUAAAAGGUACUCCGGGGAUAACAGGCUGAUACCGCCCAAGAGUUCAUAUCGACGGCGGUGUUUGGCACCUCGAUGUCGGCUCAUCACAUCCUGGGGCUGAAGUAGGUCCCAAGGGUAUGGCUGUUCGCCAUUUAAAGUGGUACGCGAGCUGGGUUUAGAACGUCGUGAGACAGUUCGGUCCCUAUCUGCCGUGGGCGCUGGAGAACUGAGGGGGGCUGCUCCUAGUACGAGAGGACCGGAGUGGACGCAUCACUGGUGUUCGGGUUGUCAUGCCAAUGGCACUGCCCGGUAGCUAAAUGCGGAAGAGAUAAGUGCUGAAAGCAUCUAAGCACGAAACUUGCCCCGA